GGCUAACGCUGGCGGCGUGUCUUAGCCAUGCAAGUCGAGCGGACUUAUGGGGUAACUUAUAAGUCAGCGGCGGACGGCGGAGUAACACGUAGCUAACCUACCCUCUGGACGGGGAUAACCUACCGAAAGGUGGGCUAAUACCCGAUGUAGUCAUCCUGUAUAGGGGUGAUGAAAGGUGGGCUUCUGUUUACAAGCUCAUGCUGGAGGAGGGGGCUGCGGCCUAUCAGGUAGUUGGUAGGGUAAUAGCCUACCAAGCCGAUGACGGGUAGCCGGCCUGAGAGGGUGACCGGCCCGAGGGGCACUGAGAUACGGGUCCCACUCCUACGGGAGGCAGCAGGCUAGGAAUUUGGGCAAUGGGGGAAACCCUGACCCAGUGACGCCGCGUGCAGGAAGGAGCCCUUCGGGGUGUAAACUGCUGUCGUGUAGGGAGAAGGGUACUAAGGUGAACAAUCUUAGUACUUGACGGUACUACAGGAGGAAGCCCAGGCUAACCUCGUGCCAGCAGCCCGGUAAUGCUACGUAGA
rnacentral:rRNA from 1 species